rnacentral:misc_RNA from 1 species
UUAGUUCGAACUGGUACAUGUAGUAAGAUCAUAUCCAUAUUUAGAUUUAAAACUUUCUCACUGAGUAAAACUGAACCGUUCGUUGUCGCAAAAUGUCUGACGAACCAGCAGGGAUAUGGAUACCUCCCUGUAGUCAACCUACAGAGGAACAUACAGACAUUACAGCGUUACCAGAUGAGAUUCUUCUGGUGGCCGCUCUGGAUUUUGGUACAACGUAUUCAGGAAUAGCUUGGUCUUUCACCAGGGAGUUUGAAAAGUACCCUCUCCGUAUCAACAGUUUGAUGUGGUCACCCAUUGUAGGACCGUCGCAAGCGACUUUCAAGACACCGACGGUACUUCUGUUGAAGUCUAAUAAGGAAGUUGUCGCAUUUGGUUAUGCUGCAGAAGAACAAUACGGAGAACUAGCAGACGAUAAUGCUCACCAUGGACUCUUCGAAAUGACACCGUUCUUGUUGAUGACGAGGGACACGCUAUGCAAGCGAAAGAUAUAUUUGGACACAGCAUUAGGUACAUGAAGAAGCGACUCUUGGACGAUCUCCAGGCUAGAGGAAACAUGAUACGAGAUGAAAACAUCAUGUGGGUAGUCACGAUUCCUGCAAUUUGGAACGAUGGUGCAAAGCAGUUCAUGAGAGAGGCCGCGAUAAUGGCAGGGAUUCCGGUUAAACAAUUCCGGCUGGCAUUAGAACCCGAAGCUGCAUCCAUAUAUGCUAAAGAAGUGCUGAUAGAGAGAACACGGGGUAAUAUUCAUCAACAGAUGCCGUCUUUUGAACAGGGGACCAAAUAUAUAGUCCUUGAUCUCGGAGGUGGAACUGUCGACAUCUCUCUGAAGGAAAUAGCAGAAGGAAAUAACAUUAAGGAGAUUCACCAUGCGACUGGUGGCCCCUGGGGAGGAUUGACUGUCAACAAAGAAUUUAUGGCUUUUUUAGAGAGCUUGAUCGGAAAAGACGUUCUGGAGGAGCUAAAAAAGAAUCAUAAAUCAGCCUGGCUGGACUUAGAAAGGGAUGUUGAGGCCAAGAAGAGAAAUAUUAGCGGAGACAAAGAUGGUCGUAUUCUUAUCCAAAUUCCCGCCGAGCUGCUUGAAAUUUUCGAAAAUAAGAAAAACAAAAAGCUUAUCAAUGCAAUUGCGUUUGAGACUAAGUAUGCUGGGAAAAUUGACAUAAAGCGGAAUUGUCUCCGCGUGGACAAAUCAAUUGUGGAGACAUUUUUCAAAACUUGUCUGGAUAACAUUGUAAACCAUACAAGAUCGCUCUUAGGAAAACCUGAAGCAGCUGGGCUUAAAUAUAUGGUGCUCGUUGGCGGAUUUGCGGAGUCAGAAUACAUAAGACAGGAACUGCCAAAGGCUUUUGGUCAGAAGCUUCAAGUUUUUAUUCCAGACGAACCCUGGCUUGCGGUUAUGCGCGGAGCUGUAUUAUUUGGACAAAAUCCAACUGUCAUUCAGACACGUAUCUCCAAAUUCACUUACGGAACCAACGUCAUACGUUAUUUUAUGACCGAUUUCGAUGACCCCCAGCACAAAAUCGAAGAAGACGGACAACCAUAUUGCAAAAACGUAUUCAACAAGCUCGCAGAAAUCGGACAGUCGUUCGAAUUAGGUGAAACUGUCUUCACUGAAGUCUUCGCACACCGAGCUGACAUGAGGAAGAUGAAGGUAAGGCUUUUCAAAUCUACUGAAAAGGACCCUCGUUACGUCACAGAUAAAAGCUGCACCCAGAUUGGACAGAUGGUGGUCGAUAUGCCUGGCUUUGGAAUGGAGAGAAUGGUCACGGUAUCCCUCUGUUUUGGAAAGGAGGAGAUAACCUGCAGUGGAAGUAACGAAUCGCAAGAAUCGGUGCACGUGAGUCUUAACCUUCUUGGAGAUGGUUAAAGUCACUGUGAACGCUCCAUAAAUGUUAAUCAUCCAUGUGAUAUUUUUCUUUCAUAUUGUUUACGGCGACUUAUUACGGCCAAUUAUACACUUCAGAUAUUCAGAAAAAAAUAUAUUUAUACAUUUAUUUAGCGAUAUAUUUAUCUUAAAGACGGGUACAUAUGUAUUGUUUAUUAUUUCAUAUCUUAGGUAUACAUAUAUAAUGUACAUGUAUAUUUUGGGUUUAUUUUUCUUCCUACAUUUUACACUCUCUGAGUCUGAUUAAUAUUGUAGAAUUUUUAUUUAAUAUGUGAUAUCAUUUUCUCUUUUGUAUGAGACUCGAUGGCAUUAAUUGUUCCAUGCGAAUUGUCGAUGUGCUUUGAAACAGUUAAUGUCAGAUAUAGCUAUAAUUGCAUAUAUACAUGAUUGUACAUUACUUUAUAAAUUCUGAAUACUUUUAGCAUGCAUUGUAUAUUAAACUAUGAUAUUAGU